rnacentral:rRNA from 1 species
GCAUAAGCGCACAGCUUCGCAUGAAGCAGUGUGAAAAACUCCGGUGGUAUACGAUGGAUCCGCGUCUGAUUAGCUGGUUGGCGGGGUAAAGGCCCACCAAGGCGACGAUCAGUAGCCGGCCUGAGAGGGUGAACGGCCACAUUGGGACUGAGACACGGCCCAAACUCCUACGGGAGGCAGCAGUGGGGAAUAUUGCACAAUGGGGGAAACCCUGAUGCAGCGACGCCGCGUGAGUGAAGAAGUAUUUCGGUACGUAAAGCUCUAUCAGCAGGGAAGAAAAUGACGGUACCUGACUAAGAAGCCCCGGCUAACUACGUGCCAGCAGCCGCGGUAAUACGUAGGGGGCAAGCGUUAUCCGGAUUUACUGGGUGUAAAGGGAGCGUAGACGGCAGCGCAAGUCUGGAGUGAAAUCCCAUGGCUUAACCAUGGAACUGCUUUGGAAACUGUGCAGCUAGAGUGCAGGAGAGGUAAGCGGAAUUCCUAGUGUAGCGGUGAAAUGCGUAGAUAUUAGGAGGAACACCAGUGGCGAAGGCGGCUUACUGGACUGUAACUGACGUUGAGGCUCGAAAGCGUGGGGAGCAAACAGGAUUAGAUACCCUGGUAGUCCACGCUGUAAACGAUGAUUACUAGGUGU